rnacentral:rRNA from 1 species
UGAAACCGUUUAGGGGUAAACCUGAGAAACCCGAAAGGUCGAAGGGAGAAAUUCAUUCGCGUUUCGAGACAGGCGUCGAACGGGUUAUCGUUGACGGAAGGCGUUUCGACGUUUUCCGCUCGUCUCGUUCGACGAUCCGGUUUCGAACGCGUGCACUUUUCUCCUGGUAGGACGUCGCGAUCCGUUGGGUGUCGGUCUACGGUUUCGGGUGGAGCCCGUCCGUUACACGUUUAACGGGCGGACCUCGGAUACCCGACCGACUCGCUCGACGGUAUAUAUGAAAGGUUCGAGGCCGCUCUCGGAGCGUCCGAUUCGCGGCAAGCCCGUCAGUUUUUGUGUUGGCGAUCGGACCCGGUGCCGAUUCUGACCGCUGUCGACUGUUGGCCGCGUUUCUCUCGGACAGACCUCGUAACCGAUCGGCGACGCUAUAGCUUUGGGUACUUUCAGGACCCGUCUUGAAACACGGACCAAGGAGUCUAGCAUGUGCGCGAGUCAUUGGGAAUCACUAAACCUAAAGGCGCAAUGAAAGUAAAGGUCUUCCUUGCGGAGACCGAGGGAAGACGGGCGUGUAUUAUCGGCCUUAAAACCG